AACGAACGCUGGCGGCGUGCCUAACACAUGCAAGUCGAGCGAGAAAGUCCCUUCGGGGGCGAGUAGAGCGGCGGACGGGUGAGUAAUACGUGGAUAAUCUUCCCUCGAGUUUGGGAUAACCCUGCGAAAGCGGGGCUAAUACCGGAUAAGACCACAUGGCGUAUGCCACGGGGUAGAAGGUGGCUUGUAUUUAUAUGAGCUAUCACUUGAGGACGAGUCCAUGGCCUAUCAGCUAGUUGGUGAGGUAAGAGCCCACCAAGGCUAUGACGGGUAGCUGGUCUGAGAGGACGACCAGCCACACUGGGACUGAGACACGGCCCAGACUCCUACGGGAGGCAG
rnacentral:rRNA from 1 species